UACGUAGGGUGCAAGCGUUGUCCGGAAUUAUUGGGCGUAAAGAGCUCGUAGGCGGCCUGUCGCGUCGGCUGUGAAAACCCGAGGCUCAACCUCGGGCCUGCAGUCGAUACGGGCAGGCUAGAGUUCGGUAGGGGAGACUGGAAUUCCUGGUGUAGCGGUGAAAUGCGUAGAUAUCAGGAGGAACACCGGUGGCGAAGGCGGCUAUCUGGACAGAAACUGACGCUGAGGCGCGAAAGCUAGGGGAGCAAACAGG
rnacentral:rRNA from 1 species